rnacentral:rRNA from 1 species
GAGCGGCAGCACGGGGGCAACCCUGGUGGCGAGCGGCGGACGGGUGAGGAACACAUCGGAAUCUACCCUGUCGUGGGGGACAACGUAGGGAAACUUACGCUAAUACCGCAUGAUCUGGAGACAGCAAAGCCGGGGACCGCAAGGCCUGGCGCGAUGGGAUGAGCCGAUGUCCGAUUAGCUAGUUGGCGGGGUAAAGGCCCACCAAGGCGACGAUCGGUAGCUGGUCUGAGAGGACGACCAGCCACACUGGAACUGAGACACGGUCCAGACUCCUACGGGAGGCAGCAGUGGGGAAUAUUGGACAAUGGGGGCAACCCUGAUCCAGCCAUGCCGCGUGGGUGAAGAAGGCCUUCGGGUUGUAAAGCCCUUUUGUACGGGAAGAAAAGUCGUCGGUGAACAUCCGGCGAUGCUGACGGUACCGUAAGAAUAAGCACCGGCUAACUUCGUG